rnacentral:rRNA from 1 species
GGGGAAUAUUGGACAAUGGGCGCAAGCCUGAUCCAGCAAUGCCGCGUGGAUGAUGAAGGCCUUAGGGUUGUAAAGUCCUUUCGGCGGGGACGAUGAUGACGGUACCCGCAGAAGAAGCCCCGGCUAACUUUGUGCCAGCAGCCGCGGUAAUACGAAGGGGGCUAGCGUUGUUCGGAAUUACUGGGCGUAAAGGGCGCGUAGGCGGCUCUCCAAGUCAGAUGUGAAAGCCCCGGGCUUAACCUGGGAAUUGCAUUUGAGACUGGGGAGCUUGAGUUUCGGAGAGGUGGGUGGAAUUCCCAGUGUAGAGGUGAAAUUCGUAGAUAUUGGGAAGAACACCGGUGGCGAAGGCGGCCCACUGGACGAAUACUGACGCUGAGGCGCGAAAGCGUGGGGAGCAAAC